AAAAUAUAGUUCACGCAAUAUAAAAAGUUAUAGUCCCAAGCGUAAUUUUUAUAGAGGUUCCUCCACAACUAAAUCUGAUACUCAAAAUUCCAAACCCCAGUAUCACGAGCCAGCUGAGACUAGACCAAAAGUUUCUAAACCUCCAACUCCUCCUCCGCCAAAAGGACAGAACACGCUCCCACCAAGGAAAUAUGAUAUUCCUCCACGAUUUUUAAGGUUACAGCAACAAAAGAAUAAUACCGUUGAAGAACAAAGAUUUAAUAAUGUUGAAGCAGAUAUUGCAAGGCCUGUAACUCCAGAUUCUCCUCCAAACUUCAUAAGUGAACCAGUCAGUAAUAAUUACAUAAGAAGUCCUAGACCUUUACAGACAACAAGAAA